GGAGAGUUUGAUCCUGGCUCAGGAUGAACGUUGGCGGCGUGCCUAAUACAUGCAAGUCGAACGAAGAGCUUAAAGUAGCAAUACUUUGAUAACUCUUAGUGGCGAACGGGUGAGUAACGCGUUGGUGACCUACCCCAAAGAUAGGGAUAACAGUUCGAAAGGACUGCUAAUACCUAAUGUUAUCAUUUGGCUUAGAUGCCUUUUGAUUAAAGGAGCUUGCUCCACUUUGGGAGGGGCCUGCGUCCCAUCAGCUAGUUGGUAGGGUAAUGGCCUACCAAGGCUAUGACGGGUAGGGGACCUGAGAGGGUGGCCCCCCACAAUGGAACUGAAACACGGUCCAUACACCUACGGGUGGCAGCAGUAGGGAAUAUUGGUAAUCUGCGAAAGCGGGAACCAGCAACGCCGCGUGCGCGAAGAAGGCCUUCGGGUUGUAAAGCGCUUUUCGGGAGGAAGAGGAAGGACUGUACUCCCGGAAUAAGUCUCGGCUAACUACGU
rnacentral:rRNA from 1 species